UUUUCACUGUAUGUAUUAACAUUUUCCAUGUACCCCGCUGGGAAUACCGAACUCAUUUGGAACUUCGAACUAGUAAUUCUUUAUCUCGAAUAACGUUGAAUCACGUAUGAUGUACGGAAAUUACCGAUGUUUUGCGA